ensembl:lncRNA
GCACAGGAGUAAGCUGCCUGAAUUAAAGGCCUGCAGCUUCUGCAUGAAUAAAUGCUGCUUGCUCAUUCUGUAGUGCUCCAGGAGAUGUGCAAAGUUGUUACCUUCCUGCUAUUCCAAUGUACAACAGCUAAGUCUCUUUUAUCCUUAGGAAAACUACAAGUUUGAGCAAGGUUUAACUGUGUAAUGGGACUUCCUUUUAGGAAUACAUAAUCAGUCAAACAUACUUGCUAAAUACAAGGAGGCUCAAAAAUGCAGAGGAGUCCAUGGAAUGCUUGGUACCCUGUAUUUCCACAAGAAGAAAGGGUUAAAAGGAGGGAAGCCUAAUUGUUAAAGAGUAGAUAAAUUUGAGGAGUGGAAGAGAAGUGGUAAAGGAGAACCACAUUUUAUUGUAUUCAAAUCUAAAUACCUUGUUUUUUCAACAAUGCUAUAUUUUGUUUGAUUUGAUUAAAAUAUAUUUUAAAUUUUAUGAAUUCUUAAAAUCACUACUUAGAGACCAGGAGAAUCCUCUGGCUUAAUUUUUGUAAUAAGGUUGUGACUAGUUCAGUGUCUGGUAGGAC